rnacentral:rRNA from 1 species
GUGAGGAAUAUUGGUCAAUGGGCGAGAGCCUGAACCAGCCAAGUAGCGUGCAGGACGACGGCCCUAUGGGUUGUAAACUGCUUUUACACGGGGAUAAAGUGUGCGACGUGUCGUUCAUUGCAGGUACCGUGCGAAUAAGGACCGGCUAAUUCCGUGCCAGCAGCCGCGGUAAUACGGAAGGUCCGGGCGUUAUCCGGAUUUAUUGGGUUUAAAGGGAGCGUAGGCCGUCUGUUAAGCGUGUUGUGAAAUGUAGAUGCUCAACAUCUGAAUUGCAGCGCGAACUGACCGACUUGAGUGCGCAGGAAGUAGGCGGAAUUCGUGGUGUAGCGGUGAAAUGCUUAGAUAUGGCACAGAACACCAAUUGCGAAGGCAGCUCACUAAGGCGAUACUGACGCUGAGGCACGAAAGCGUGGGGAUCGAACAGGAUUAGAAACCCCAGUAGUCC